rnacentral:rRNA from 1 species
GACGAACGCUGGCGGCGUGCUUAACACAUGCAAGUCGAACGGAAAGGCCCUGCUUUUGUGGGGUUCUCGAGUGGCGAACGGGUGAGUAACACGUGAGUAACCUGCCCUUGACUGUGGGAUAACUUCAGGAAACUGGGGCGAAUACCGGAUAGGAGCUCCUGCUGCAUGGGGGGGGUUGGAAAGUUUCGGCUGUUGGGGAUGGACUCGCGGCUUAUCAGCUUGUUGGUGGGGUAGUGGCUUACCAAGGCUUUGACGGGUAGCCGGCCUGAGAGGGUGGACGGCGACAUUGGGCCUGCGAUACGGCCCAGAAUCCUACGGGCGGCAGCAGUGGGAAAUAUUGCGCAAUGGGCGGACGCCUGAUGCAGAAACGCCGCGUGCGGGAUGACGGCCUUCGGGUUGUAAACCGAUUUCGCCUGUGACGAAGCGUGAGUGACGGUAAUGGGUAAAGAAGCACCGGCUAACUACGUG